ACACUGGGGAUACUUAGUACGGCGAGUGAGCGGUAAAAGCUCAAAUUUGAAAUCUGGUACUUUCAGUGCCCGAGUUGUAAUUUGUAGAAUUUGUCUUUGAUUAGGUCCUUGUCUAUGUUCCUUGGAACAGGACGUCAUAGAGGGUGAGAAUCCCGUUUGGCGAGGAUACCUUUUCUCUGUAAGACUUUUUCGAAGAGUCGAGUUGUUUGGGAAUGCAGCUCAAAGUGGGUGGUAAAUUCCAUCUAAAGCUAAAUAUUGGCGAGAGACCGAUAGCGAACAAGUACAGUGAUGGAAAGAUGAAAAGAACUUUGAAAAGAGAGUGAAAAAGUACGUGAAAUUGUUGAAAGGGAAGGGCAUUUGAUCAGACAUGGUGUUUUUUGCAUGCACUCGCCUCUCGUGGGCUUGGGCCUCUCAAAAAUUUCACUGGGCCAACAUCAAUUCUGGCAGCAGGAUAAAUCAUUAAGAAUGUAGCUACUUCGGUAGUGUUAUAGCUUUUUGGAAUACUGUUAGCCGGGAUUGAGGACUGCGCUUCGGCAAGGAUGUUGGCAUAAUGGUUAAAUGCCGCCCGUCUUAAAAAAAGCGAAACAAAAAACCUUUCCCCACAACCAUAAAAAAAAAAAAAAAAAAAAAAAUCAAA
rnacentral:rRNA from 1 species